GGCCACGUAGCCAAAUGGUAAGGCGGUUCUCUGCAAAAGAACUAUACGCCGGUUCGAUUCCGGCCGUGGCCU
rnacentral:tRNA from 1 species